AUUGAACGCUGGCGGCAUGCCUUACACAUGCAAGUCGAACGGCAGCACGGGGCAACCUGGUGGCGAGUGGCGAACGGGUGAGUAAUGCAUCGGUACGUACCUUUCAGUGGGGGAUAACGUAGCGAAAGUUACGCUAAUACCGCAUAUUCUGUGAGCAGGAAAGCAGGGGAUCGCAAGGACUUGUGCUGAUUGAGCGGCCGAUGUCGAAUUAGCUAGUUGGUGAGGUAAAGGCUCACCAAGGCGACGAUCUGUAGCGGGUCUGAGAGGAUGAUCCGCCACACUGGAACUGAGACACGGUCCAGACUCCUACGGGAGGCAGCAGUGGGGAAUUUUGGACAAUGGGGGCAACCCUGAUCCAGCCAUGCCGCGUGGGUGAAGAAGGCCUUCGGGUUGUAAAGCUCUUUCGGCCGGGAAGAAAUCGCACGGGCUAAUACCCUGUGUGGAUGACGGUACCGGAAUAAGAAGCACCGGCUAACUACGUGCCAGCCGCCGCAGUAAUAC
rnacentral:rRNA from 1 species